rnacentral:rRNA from 1 species
GACGUAGGGGGCCAGCGUUGUUCGGAUUUACUGGGCGUAAAGGGCGCGUAGGCGGUCGUGACAAGUCACUUGUGAAAUCUCCGGGCUUAACUCGGAACGGUCAAGUGAUACUGUCGGACUAGAGUACAGAAGGGGCAACUGGAAUUCUCGGUGUAGCGGUGAAAUGCGUAGAUAUCGAGAGGAACACCUGCGGCGAAGGCGGGUUGCUGGGCUGACACUGACGCUGAGGCGCGAAAGCCAGGGGAGCGAACGGG